GACGAGCCGUGCGAACGUUAUUCGGAAUCACUGGGCUUAAAGGGCGCGUAGGCGGGUCACCAAGUCCGGGGUGAAAGUCCCACGGCCCAACCGUGGAAGUGCCUUGGAUACUGAUGACCGUCGAGGGGGGUAGGGGCGUGCGGAACGUCAGGGUGGAGCGGUGAAAUGCGUAGAUAUCCUGAGGAACACCGGUGGCGAAAGCGGCGCCGCUGGACCCCUUCUGACGCUGAGGAGCG
rnacentral:rRNA from 1 species